rfam:Zea mays cultivar B73 chromosome 7, whole genome shotgun sequence.
UCUCUGUGAUUAGCAAGCAGAUGACGAGUCCGAUAUAACCCAUUCCGUUAUAGUGUUAUACCAUUAGGACAAUCGAGGCAUUUGUCUGAGAUAA